rnacentral:rRNA from 1 species
UGGUGGAGUGAUUUGUCUGGUUAAUUCCGUUAACGAACGAGACCUUAGCCUAUUAAAUAGUUUGACAAACACCAAGGUGUAUGUAUUUUGAGCUUCUUAGAGGGACCUUCUGUAUCUAGCAGUAGGAAGUUUAAGGCAAUAACA